rnacentral:rRNA from 1 species
GUNAAAGACGAUGACGUUGAUAGGUCGGGUGUGUAAGYGUAGCGAUACRUUGAGCUAACCGAUACUAAUGAACCGUGAGGCUUAACCUUACAACGCCGAAG